GACGAACGCUGGCGGCGUGCUUAACACAUGCAAGUCGAACGGAAAGGCCUGCUUUCCCUUGUGGAUUGCGGGUGCUCGAGUGGCGAACGGGUGAGUAACACGUGAGUGAUCUGCCCCCAACUUGGGUAUAAGCCUGGGAAACUGGGUCUAAUUCUCGAUAGGACUGCAGGGUGGUGCCUGUGGUGGAAAACGAUUUUCUAGUGGUUGGGGAUGAGCUCGCGGCCUAUCAGCUUGUUGGUGGGGUAAUGGCCUACCAAGGCGGCGACGGGUAGCCGGCCUGAGAGGGUGGACGGCCACAUUGGGACUGAGAUACGGCCCAGACUCCUACGGGAGGCAGCAGUGGGGAAUAUUGCACAAUGGGCGGAAGCCUGAUGCAGCGACGCCGCGUGGGGGAUGACGGCCUUCGGGUUGUAAACUCCUUUCGACCGCGAGGAAGCCACCUGGUUGGAAGGGUGGUGACGGUAGUGGUAGAAGAAGCACCGGCUAACUACGUG
rnacentral:rRNA from 1 species